rnacentral:lncRNA from 1 species
AGUCAGCCCGCGGCUUUUCUGUCUUCCUUUCUGGCCCAGCGAGAGCGCCCAGGGGGUGGGCGUCUUGCCCCGGGCGUCGAGAGUUUGGGGCCGUCCCGUACGCGGCGCGCCGCAACCCAGUCCCCGCGACCACAGCAGCCUGCUCCCCACCGCGCUUGCAGAGCCCGGACGCGCGUGAGUCGGGGGCCCGCAGAGGCCUCACCCUUGGAGGUCGCCGCUUGUCAGGCCUGACUGCUGUUGGCGCCCACCCCGCCGCCCCCGAGGGGCCGCUCGAGGCCGGACUGCUGCUUUGCCGUGGCAGGCCCCACCCGGGACGUGGCGCUGCGGGCCGGGGCGGUCCAGCUGCAAUCCCUACUCCCUGCCAAAGGAGAACCCAGUUACUGAACAUCGGAUGAGACCAUGGAUAGUAAAUUGGGAGUGAAGGUCCAUACCUGGGUCUCAGAAGCACAGUACAGUUACACCAGCCUCCUGAGUAUGACAGCAACAUUCCUUCAGGGAUUAAAGAAAAUGCUUCAGAAGAUUGGAACACUGCUCAGCCUUCCCAACCUUCUUUUACCACUGAUGUUUCUACCUUAGUGAUCUUCCUCCUUAUUUUAAUGCUUCUUUCUCUUUACAAUUAAAAGUUCAUAAAAUCUUUCAACAUUAUUUUUCACUACAAAAGUCUGA